rnacentral:lncRNA from 1 species
CUAGUUCAAUCAUCACAAAACAAGAUUUCAACUCCGGUUCUUUUCUCUAUAAAUCAUCCGAAAAUAGUAAAAUUCCUUAAGAUUGUUAGUAUUAUUGUGUUAAAAAUCAGAAAAUCAGAGAAGUAGAGAAAUAUUAGUUAACAGAAAAAAUAAGAAAUAUUCUGAGUCCACAAUUUGCUUGUGCGUCCUUAAGGAAUUUUAAUCCCCCUCACACAUUGCCAAGGUAAUGGAUUAAAUCCUCCCAGGAUGAAACGGAAUAAAUCUUCCUUCAACAGCGGUAAUACAAACUGCAGGAUACCAACAAACUCAAAGAAUGGAACAAAAUCACACUUGGCAUUUAUGUUUAUUUGAAAAUAAUGCAAAUAUAAAAGAGGGGAGAAAAUUUUC